rnacentral:lncRNA from 10 species
UGGCUGCCUCCUACUGGACAGACAUGGAUGUCUCUUCCCCUGGGAAGUUUCCCAGUGUCCCAUAUUGGUUGGAUGCAGCUCCAACAUGCUUCCAUAACCCUGUGGCAGCAUUUUAUCUGUAUUGUCGUGGCUGCUUGAGUCUCUGACCUCCCGCUGGCAGGUGAGCACUGUGUGGCAGGGACCCAGAGACUGGGGCUCCCCAGCACCUGGCCCUGACAGUUUUUUUGUGUAGGAAGAGGCAAGACCAGCCAGCUCUCCACAUAGAGAACAUGGUGUAAGGUGAGAAAACCUCAAGGAAGGGCUCACCUCUCAAGGGGCUCCCACCCACUCAGAGCCUGGCCACUUCCCUCUCCUCCUCCUCCUUCACCAUAAAACCAGGUGGCCGGCCAGGCGUGGUGGCUCCUAAGAUACAUGAGAGCCUCAGAAGCCCCUCACAGUCCUGGUUCUAUCUAUCUCCAGUGAGGCCACUAGCACUCACCCAAGACCUAAGGGAACAGGAGCAGAGCCACGUUCAUCAAGGCAAAUGCUGAGCGUGUGUGAGAUGCAGGUGGAAAGGAUGUCGUCUGAUGUGAAUCUGACAAAAUCUUGUUCCCAGGGGGCAUCUGGUUUGGUAAGAGUCUGUUGUGAGGCUUUGUGUGUGGAAUGGGGUUAGACAGACCUGGGUGCUGGUUCCAGCUGCCCCUGACUCACUGUGGGACUUUGAUAGGUUGUUUCUGCUCUCGGAACCUGUUUCCUCAUCCAAAUGGGAACAAUUAUGGGACUUAGCUCAAAGGUGGUUGUGAAAACCUGUUGACAUGAGGAGAAAGUAGGAAGUGUAAGAAAUGAC